rnacentral:misc_RNA from 1 species
GGUCGAUUUUGGCUUAGUUACUGAUAAAUGCUAAUCUAACAAUUCUAAAUGAUCAAAAUGUUGACAACUAUAAGCUUGCUAGGAAUUUGGAAUAGAUUUUUUGAACUGUUAAUGAUCAGUUUAAGAUCUUAUACCACUUUCAAGAACUUGGCAUAGUUUCCAAGUAAAAGUGCAUUUUCAGGAUCAGCUGAAAUCAUUUUCUGAUAAUAAGCAUCAGUAUUGUCAUUC